rnacentral:rRNA from 1 species
UAAUACGGAGGAUGCGAGCGUUAUCCGGAUUUAUUAGGUUUAAAGGGUACGUAGGCGGCAGCGUAAGUCAGGGGUGAAAUACGGUGGCUUAACCAUCGAAUUGCCUUUGAAACUGCGCAGCUAGAGUAAUGACGGGGCAGGCGGAAUAAGUGGAGUAGCGGUGAAAUGCAUAGAUACCACUUAGAACACCGAUAGCGAAGGCAGCUUGCCAGCGAUUAACUGACGCUGAUGUACGAAAGCAUGGGUAGCGAACAGG